AGGAGCCGUGUGAGAUGAAAGUCUCAUGCACGGUUUUGAAUGAGAGAAUGAAGUGAGGAAUCCUCUUUUUGACUCUGAC
rfam:Capsicum annuum cultivar Zunla-1 chromosome 1, whole genome shotgun sequence